CCCUUAGAUGUUCUGGGCCGCACGCGCGCUACACUGAAUGGAUCAACGUGUUUUCCCUUCCCGAGAGGGACGGGUAACCCGCUGAACCCCAUUCGUGGUAGGGAUCGGAGCUUGCAAUUGUUCUCCGUGAACCAGGAAUUCCCAGUAAGCGCAAGUCAUAAGCUUGCGUUGAUUACGUCCCUGCCCUUUGUACACACCGCCCGUCGCUACUACCGAUUGAAUGGUCCGGUGAAAUCUCGGGACGGCGGCUUGGUCGCUUGCGUCCGACUGCUGAAACUUGAUUAAACCAUAUCAUUUAGAGGAAGGUGAANUCGUANCA
rnacentral:rRNA from 1 species